rnacentral:lncRNA from 13 species
UUACAUGGAGCUGAAAAGAGGGAUAGCAGGUGGCUCAACAGCUCUGCCACAGAAAUGCCCUGUCCUGGGGCCUGCCACCUCACUGGCCCAAGGAGAGUGAGACACAGGGAGUGGAGCCAUCCUAGCUGACACACAGAUCCGCACUGAGAAGCAGAGUUACCCAGAUGGGCCCAGCCUAGAUCAGCAGAAUCCCAGGCAACCUGCAUAUGUGUGUAGAAAAUGCUGUUACAAAGCCACUGAGAUUUUGUUGUUACUGGUUAUACGGCAUUAUUGCAACAAAAACUAAUUGAAGUAGUUGUUAACAAAUACUCAUCCAAUCAACAUAUAUUGAGGUCUUAUUGUGUGCUAGCCACUGAAGAUGCAAUGACAAGAAAGACGGAUACAAUUAUUACUCUCAUGGAAUUUACCGUUGAUUUUUGUGGUCCCUGAGGCCCUUUUGGGAAGGGCUGCAAUGUUAAAAUUGUUUUCAGUGUAGUACUAAAACAUUCUUUUUCUUUUUCUUUUUUUUUUCCACUGUGUUGACAUUUGCACCAGUGGAACAAAGGCAAUUACAUACUUAGCUGCUGAAAUUUUGACACGAAUCAUUGCAGGGGAACCAAAACGUAGGAGUAGUCGUAUUUACUAUCACGGUGUACUUACAGUUUAAAAAAUACCAGUUUCAUUGAUGAAUGUCCUCAAUGAGGUGGUAAAAUGAUUGAUUUAAUUAAAUCUCCACUCUGAGGUUAAUAUCUUU